rnacentral:rRNA from 1 species
AAGAUGGUGACCGGCGCACGGGUGAGUAACACGUAUCCAACCUGCCGAUAACUCCGGGAUAGCCUUUCGAAAGAAAGAUUAAUACCGGAUGGCAUACGAAUAUCGCAUGAUAUUUUUAUUAAAGAAUUUCGGUUAUCGAUGGGGAUGCGUUCCAUUAGUUUGUUGGCGGGGUAACGGCCCACCAAGACUACGAUGGAUAGGGGUUCUGAGAGGAAGGUCCCCCACAUUGGAACUGAGACACGGUCCAA